rnacentral:tRNA from 8 species
CGGGGAGUAGCUCAGCUUGGUAGAGCGCUGGUUUUGGGAACCAGAUGUCGCAGGUUCGAAUCCUGUCUCCCCGACCA